rnacentral:tRNA from 2 species
GGAGAAGUACCCAAGAGGCCGAAGGGGCUCCCCUGCUAAGGGAGUAGUCGGUGAUGAGCCGAGCGAGGGUUCAAAUCCCUCCUUCUCCGCCA